rnacentral:misc_RNA from 1 species
CUACUCUUCGCUGUCGCGGCGUCGUUUGAGGCAGAUAAGGGUAUAAAGCACAAGUUCCGCCAUGGCGAUGGAGGGAAGCCACCGUCUACUGGUGCAAACAUGGGAUAAGCACAGUGAUUUACAUUAUCCAAAAGGCUUCAUGCUUACUGCUUGAUUUGAGUACCUCUCUUUUCCCUUUGAAUUGCUUAUUACUACUCUCAAACUUAUCUACUAGCUUCCGAUUCUAUAGUUCUAAUGUACACAAGGUGCUCUAAUAUUGCUAAAAUCCAGGCAUUUUCAAUGGUGUUUAGGGUUUCUCGAAAUCUCAGAUGCUUUAAACUAUUUCACACCGCAAAGGCCCAAUCUUUGCCAAUCGGGUUCCAUUUAAAACCCCCAUUAAACCCUAAAUGCGUCUGCUUUACAGCACUUAAGCUAGAGUUUGAUUACAAGUCACACAAAACUUCCACUACGUGUCAGUGUAAAUACAGAGAAAUGAGUAAUAUAGCUAAAGGUGGAAGUGUUUCAAAUGGGUUUAGGCUUAUAAGUGCCGUACCAUGUUGUACUGUGCUGAGAGCUAGAAGUUUUUCUAGUUCAUAUUCCCAGGGAAUUGGUAAAGGGAGUCCUGCAUUGAAAGCUGGAAAGUCACUUCCUUGGUUAAGUUCUGACAAAGUUGAGGCAACGAAAGGGUUUGAGAAAAGGGCAAGUGCAAACAUCAGUCGUUCUCAUCGGGAGGAAUCGACCAAAAGAUUGGAGAAAGGCACUACUGGCUCUUCAUGGCAGGAAUCGGUUAAAAGGUUAGAGAAAGGAGCAGUUGCCAAAACUCACUCCUUGUCUCGGGAGGAGCCUGCAAAAGGGUUAGAGAAAGGGGCAGUUACAAGAAGUGCUCGAUCUUCUUGGAAGGAUUCAGUGGAAACUGCUUUGGAGAAGAAGAGCAAUUAUACGGUGAGGAAUAAAGAAAAUAGAAAUAGAAUGUUGGGUGGGGUGAAGGACAGGAAGUAUGACACUGGUUACAAAGAAAGGAACGAUAGUGUUGAUGAAGAGGAAGAUGAAUUGGAUGUUGUUGAUGAUCCCAGAUGGGAUAAGAUAAAAAACACGUUCAAAGGAAUGGCAGAUGUGAAAGGUAGGACUGAGAAGCCUGCGCUUCGAAGGUGGAAUAAGCAGGAAAAUUGGGGUAGAAAGACAUGGGGAGAAGCUACUGAAUCAACUGUACCUAAGAUGGUUGGCGAAGGCGUUUAUGGGGUAGGUCCUGUUUUGGCUGCACUUUCAGCUGGUAGAAGAGAAUUCUAUGCAUUGUAUGUUCAAGAAGGAUUGGAUUUGAGUGGUAAUAACAAGAAGAAGAAGGACAAGAAAGGGAUUGAGAAGGUGUUGAGGAUGGCUGAAAAAAUUGGGUUAAGCAUAAAGGAAGUUUCAAAACAUGAUCUGAAUAUGGUUGUUGAUAAUCGCCCCCACCAGGGCCUAGUGUUGGAUGCUUCACCUUUGGAGAUGGUGAAAAUAAAGGAGUUGGAGCCUGUUUUGCCUGAGGAUGAGAAAGGUUCUCUUUGGGUAGCUUUGGAUGAGGUUACAGAUCCCCAGAACUUGGGGGCAAUUAUUAGGUCUGCUUACUUCUUUGGGGCUUCAGGGGUGGUGCUAUGUGCAAAAAAUUCAGCUCCUUUAAGUGGGGUUGUCAGCAAAGCAAGUGCAGGAUCACUUGAACUAAUGGAGCUCAGGUAUUGCAAGAAUAUGAUGCAGUUCCUAGUAUCUUCCGCUGAAAAUGGGUGGCGAGUUCUUGGAGGUUCUGUUUCUCCAAAAGCUGUUUCCUUGAAUGAAAUUUUGCCUGGUGAACCCACAAUUCUUGUUUUGGGUAGUGAGGGCGCUGGCUUGAGGCCAUUAGUGGAGAGAUCAUGUACCCAUUUAGUUCGGAUCCCUGGAAAUAUUCCUGUGGAUGUAACAUUGGGAGGGAAUGAUGGUUUGGAACCUGAAGAAACAAAUCUUGAGCGCUCAAGUGAAGAGUACCGGUCCCUUUUGGCCGUGGAGAGUUUGAAUGUCAGUGUUGCGGCUGGUGUGCUUCUUCACCACUUAAUUGGUAGCAACAACAAUGAUGAGGUCUGCAUACAUGAUAAGUAGAUUGUACUUUUGUACUUGAAUGAAACUUCAUGUGGAAGCUGCAUGGAAACUCCACUGCAUUUUAAGUACACAAAAUUGUUAUCUUUAUGCUUUUCGUUUUGGCUUUUCUUUUGCAAAAUACUUUAGUAUAAGAAUUAUAUCAGUAAUAGGGUUACACAUGAUAAUGGGAAAUUGAAGUUUCGCCCUAUUUCCACCCGUUGGUGGUUACAUUUGUGCCAGAAAUUUCCACUAGGUAGUAUCUGAAGUUACACACUUGAGAUUUUGUGGCGUGGAAUCGAAUUCUCUUUUAUCCCCUCAUUUAAUUUUUGCACAGAAAUGUGUAGUUUUGUCUUAUUCUUUCCAUUUUUUGGCAGCAAUAUUUGGCUUCAUCAGGGAGGCGAGGGUGAGUUCUUCGAAUGCUUUCUGUUCAAGUACAAUUUCGGCUCACAAAAAGAGCACAUGAAUGUGUUUGCAUUGAUGCAGUUAGAAAUAAAAAUAUAGAGGGCACUUACAAAAUUAGAAUACAAGCCUUGAUAACUGUUGGCUUUUUAGCUUGUGUGAGAAAUUUCGCACAAGCAAAUAAAAUUAUGGUAUGCGGGCUUUCUUCUGCCUCUGCUGUUGUUUUCUUUCAGAGGUUUUAUCAUCAUAUCACAUCCCACGUUUGAACUUGCACGCACAGCUGACAUGAUACGUUGGUAGAUUACUAGAUUUGUCACUUAAUCAUGUCUUUUAUAUUUUCUGUAUCAAGUCACUUGAAUAUGCAAGCAGUUGAAAAUCAUUUCUACAAGAUGCUGUAAAUUUCAAAUUCAGGUAAGUGAUGACAUGGGCUUAGAAUCACUGAAGUUUUGCAACAAAUCAAUGGUGGAAAGCUAAUGAAAAAAGACAAGAAAGGUUCCUGCACCUGCACGUUUGCAGUCUACCAAAAUAAUAGACAGAAGAAGCAGCUAGCUAUGGACAAGUUUCCCAUUUGAUUUACCAAAUGCAGGGAAAAGUCCAUUUCCUUGGCUGUGUUGCAUAAAGCUGUCUAUACUAAUUUCAUGUCCAUGAUGAACAUGGCCACCUUCUCUCAAUAUUCAUCAAGGUCAUAAUGGAUUGCCACCUAAGCUUGGGCCCUCCACCCCUUCCUCUUGCUGCUAAGUUGUUUUAUUUUCAAGUAACAAAAAGGUAACUUUAUAUGCAUUGAAAUUAAAUUCUUUACUGUGCAAUUUACAUUUAAUUUGUAUUUAUAAUUCAGCUCUUAAUCAUGUGAAAAGGCCAACAAUCCUCUUAAUCAUGUGAAAAGGCCAACAAUC